GGAUUGCCCUAGUAACGGCGAGUGAAGCGGCAACAGCUCAAAUUUGAAAUCUGGCUCUUUUAGAGUCCGAGUUGUAAUUUGCAGAGGGCGCUUUGGCUUUGGCAGCGGUCCAAGUUCCUUGGAACAGGACGUCACAGAGGGUGAGAAUCCCGUACGUGGUCGCUGGCUAUUGCCGUGUAAAGCCCCUUCGACGAGUCGAGUUGUUUGGGAAUGCAGCUCUAAAUGGGAGGUACAUUUCUUCUAAAGCUAAAUAUUGGCCAGAGACCGAUAGCGCACAAGUAGAGUGAUCGAAAGAUGAAAAGCACUUUGGAAAGAGAGUCAAACAGCACGUGAAAUUGUUGAAAGGGAAGCGCUUGCAGCCAGACUUGCUUACAGUUGCUCAUCCGGGCUUUUGCCCGGUGCACUCUUCUGUAGGCAGGCCAGCAUCAGUUUGGGCGGUAGGAUAAAGGUCUCUGUCACGUACCUCUCUUCGGGGAGGCCUUAUAGGGGAGACGACAUACUACCAGCCUGGACUGAGGUCCGCGCAUCUGCUAGGAUGCUGGCGUAAUGGCUGUAAGCGGCCC
rnacentral:rRNA from 1 species